rnacentral:tRNA from 1 species
GCAGAUGUGGCGGAAUUGGCAGACGCGCUACUUUGAGGUGGUAGUGAGGUCACUCGUGCAGGUUCAAGUCCUGUCAUCUGCACCA